rnacentral:tRNA from 1 species
AUUUAAAUAGUUUAUUUAAAAUAUUGAUUUGUGGGGUCAAAGAUGUAAGUUUUUACUUUAAAUA